rnacentral:lncRNA from 1 species
CCAGGUCCGGAGCGGGUGGCGAGGGGUUGCUGACACACGUGGGGCGACGGCUCGAGAGGCAGGGAAGCGGCCCAGGGCCCCGCCCGCCCGCAUGACUCCCGAGCUGGCCGCGAGGGUGGGGAGAGACCAACAGCCCUCACCGAGGGAGGCCGCGGCCGCCAGGGGGAGGUGGCUGCGUGGGGGCAGUAACGGGAGAGGGGGCCCGAGGUUGUGUAACUAUCCAGAAACACACGAUAGAGUCCUCUUUCAGCAAGUAUUCUUGGUUAAGUCAUGAAAAUGGAGCUUGUUUUCCCCCUUUGUAUGAUAAUAUAAUCGGAACUUCUCUGUUUACCUGAAAAUCACAUCAUAGACAAGUUAAAAAUGUGGAAAGGUAACAUUUUAAAGAAAUUACUUACAAUCCUAAUACCAUAAAAACUGACUUUAAGAGCUUUGGGGUUUGUUUAGAAUUUUUGCAAGGUUUUCAAUCUUUUCAAGAUGUUUUCCCUUUGAAAUUUUUAUGCUAUAGAGUUCUUCUAAUCUGUUCCCUGAACUUUUAAAAAAUCUGUUUUCAUAAAUUUGCCCUACUUCUCU